rnacentral:rRNA from 1 species
GGUCAAGUGAAGAAGCGCAUACGGUGGAUGCCUUGGCAGUCAGAGGCGAUGAAAGACGUGGUAGCCUGCGAAAAGCUUCGGGGAGUCGGCAAACAGACUUUGAUCCGGAGAUCUCUGAAUGGGGGAACCCACCUAGGAUAACCUAGGUAUCUUGUACUGAAUCCAUAGGUGCAAGAGGCGAACCAGGGGAACUGAAACAUCUAAGUACCCUGAGGAAAAGAAAUCAACCGAGAUUCCCUUAGUAGUGGCGAGCGAACGGGGAUUAGCCCUUAAGCUUCAUUGAUUUUAGCGGAACGCUCUGGAAAGUGCGGCCAUAGUGGGUGAUAGCCCCGUACGCGAAAGGAUCUUUGAAGUGAAAUCGAGUAGGACGGAGCACGAGAAACUUUGUCUGAACAUGGGGGGACCAUCCUCCAAGGCUAAAUACUACUGACUGACCGAUAGUGAACCAGUACCGUGAGGGAAAGGCGAAAAGAACCCCGGAGAGGGGAGUGAAAUAGAACCUGAAACCGUAUGCGUACAAGCAGUGGGAGCCUACUUGUUAGGUGACUGCGUACCUUUUGUAUAAUGGGUCAGCGACUUAUAUUCAGUGGCAAGCUUAACCGUAUAGGGUAGGCGUAGCGAAAGCGAGUCUUAAUAGGGCGUUUAGUCGCUGGGUAUAGACCCGAAACCGGGCGAUCUAUCCAUGAGCAGGUUGAAGGUUAGGUAACACUGACUGGAGGACCGAACCCACUCCCGUUGAAAAGGUAGGGGAUGACUUGUGGAUCGGAGUGAAAGGCUAAUCAAGCUCGGAGAUAGCUGGUUCUCCUCGAAAGCUAUUUAGGUAGCGCCUCAUGUAUCACUCUGGGGGGUAGAGCACUGUUUCGGCUAGGGGGUCAUCCCGACUUACCAAACCGAUGCAAACUCCGAAUACCCAGAAGUGCCGAGCAUGGGAGACACACGGCGGGUGCUAACGUCCGUCGUGAAAAGGGAAACAACCCAGGCCGCCAGCUAAGGUCCCAAAGUUGUGGUUAAGUGGUAAACGAUGUGGGAAGGCUUAGACAGCUAGGAGGUUGGCUUAGAAGCAGCCAUCCUUUAAAGAAAGCGUAAUAGCUCACUAGUCGAGUCGGCCUGCGCGGAAGAUGUAACGGGGCUCAAACCACACACCGAAGCUGCGGGUGUCACGUAAGUGACGCGGUAGAGGAGCGUUCUGUAAGCCUGUGAAGGUGAGUUGAGAAGCUUGCUGGAGGUAUCAGAAGUGCGAAUGCUGACAUGAGUAACGACAAUGGGUGUGAAAAACACCCACGCCGAAAGACCAAGGGUUCCUGCGCAACGUUAAUCGACGCAGGGUUAGUCGGUUCCUAAGGCGAGGCUGAAAAGCGUAGUCGAUGGGAAACAGGUUAAUAUUCCUGUACUUCUGGUUACUGCGAUGGAGGGACGGAGAAGGCUAGGCCAGCUUGGCGUUGGUUGUCCAAGUUUAAGGUGGUAGGCUGAAAUCUUAGGUAAAUCCGGGGUUUCAAGGCCGAGAGCUGAUGACGAGUCGUCUUUUAGAUGACGAAGUGGUUGAUGCCAUGCUUCCAAGAAAAGCUUCUAAGCUUCAGGUAACCAGGAACCGUACCCCAAACCGACACAGGUGGUCGGGUAGAGAAUACCAAGGCGCUUGAGAGAACUCGGGUGAAGGAACUAGGCAAAAUGGCACCGUAACUUCGGGAGAAGGUGCGCCGGCUAGGGUGAAGGAUUUACUCCGUAAGCUCUGGCUGGUCGAAGAUACCAGGCCGCUGCGACUGUUUAUUAAAAACACAGCACUCUGCAAACACGAAAGUGGACGUAUAGGGUGUGACGCCUGCCCGGUGCCGGAAGGUUAAUUGAUGGGGUUAGCGCAAGCGAAGCUCUUGAUCGAAGCCCCGGUAAACGGCGGCCGUAACUAUAACGGUCCUAAGGUAGCGAAAUUCCUUGUCGGGUAAGUUCCGACCUGCACGAAUGGCGUAACGAUGGCGGCGCUGUCUCCACCCGAGACUCAGUGAAAUUGAAAUCGCUGUGAAGAUGCAGUGUAUCCGCGGCUAGACGGAAAGACCCCGUGAACCUUUACUGUAGCUUUGCACUGGACUUUGAGCCUGCUUGUGUAGGAUAGGUGGGAGGCUUUGAAGCGUGGACGCCAGUUCGCGUGGAGCCAUCCUUGAAAUACCACCCUGGCAUGCUUGAGGUUCUAACUCUGGUCCGUGAUCCGGAUCGAGGACAGUGUAUGGUGGGCAGUUUGACUGGGGCGGUCUCCUCCUAAAGAGUAACGGAGGAGUACGAAGGUGCGCUCAGACCGGUCGGAAAUCGGUCGCAGAGUAUAAAGGCAAAAGCGCGCUUGACUGCGAGACAGACACGUCGAGCAGGUACGAAAGUAGGUCUUAGUGAUCCGGUGGUUCUGUAUGGAAGGGCCAUCGCUCAACGGAUAAAAGGUACUCCGGGGAUAACAGGCUGAUACCGCCCAAGAGUUCAUAUCGACGGCGGUGUUUGGCACCUCGAUGUCGGCUCAUCACAUCCUGGGGCUGAAGCCGGUCCCAAGGGUAUGGCUGUUCGCCAUUUAAAGUGGUACGCGAGCUGGGUUUAGAACGUCGUGAGACAGUUCGGUCCCUAUCUGCCGUGGACGUUUGAGAUUUGAGAGGGGCUGCUCCUAGUACGAGAGGACCGGAGUGGACGAACCUCUGGUGUUCCGGUUGUCACGCCAGUGGCAUUGCCGGGUAGCUAUGUUCGGAAAAGAUAACCGCUGAAAGCAUCUAAGCGGGAAACUUGCCUCAAGAUGAGAUCUCACUGGGAACUUGAUUCCCCUGAAGGGCCGUCGAAGACUACGACGUUGAUAGGCUGGGUGUGUAAGCGUUGUGAGGCGUUGAGCUAACCAGUACUAAUUGCCCGUGAGGCUUGACCAU